CUUGAGAAAGACUCUGAAAGGGAGGGGGAAGAGGCAUUGUUGUACCCUGACCUUUCAGCUUUCCAUCUGACCCCCCAAGGAAGCAAAACCUAAUGUUACUCCUUCCAGAAAGUGUGCUUCUCCAGUAGCACCAUCUUUCGACCAUUGGCUGCGGAGCCAAGGGGACAAAGGGGGUGUUCACCAAAUGCCCAUGAUGGUUUUUCCCAACCCCCAGCCACGACGAACAGGGGACCAAGCGCACAGCCACUGGGAUCCAGAAGUGCUUGUGUACAGGCCAUGGCAGCCAGAUCAGCUGAAGGAGGUUGCAGAGGAGCUGCCUGAUCCACAAAAGACUAGAGCAAGCAGCUUGAGCUUCAGCAGCAGCCAUCCACCACCAGACUGAGCCCAGGCUUCUGCAGUAGCCAUCCACCACCAGGCUGAGCCCAGGCUUCAGCAGCCAUCCACCACCAGGCUGAGCCCAGGCCUCAGUGGCAGCCUUCAACCACCAGGCCAGGCCCAGGCUUCAGCAGGAGCCAUCCACCACCAGGCUGAGCCCAGGCUUCAACAGGAGCCAUCCACCACCAGGCUGAGCCCAGUCUUCUGCAGUGGCCAUCCACCACCAGGCUGAGCCCAGGCUUCAGCAGCAGCCAUCCACCAUCAGGCCAGGCCCAAGCUUUAACAGGAGCCAUUCACCACCAGACUGAGCCCAGACUUCAGCAGGAGCCAUCUACCACCAGGCCGAGCCCAGGCUCCAGCAGCAGCCACCACUAGGACCUGCUGCAUCUUCCUACAGGUCAGCCACAAAAAAACGCGUAAGAUGUUUCAAGCUCCGAUGGGCCAACAUUCAACCUGCCAACAGGUCCACCAGCCCAGCAGUUGGAUCAAAGGAUUUCACCACAAUGAUGGACAGGUUGUAUGAUGCAGUGUACACCAAGAAACGUACAGCAACACUGAUGGCCACAAGCUGAGGUGCUACACACACACACACACACACACACACACACACACACACACACACACACACACACACACACUGACGCAAUUACAUUUAUGUUAUUGACUGAUGAAGGGGAGGCAAUAAUAUCAACAAUGCCUGAUAACUUGUGUGGUGGAAGCAAGUUUGAUUUUGGGAAUAUACAGGGGACAACUCUGUUAUUGUUCAGCCAAAAUCAACUGUUAGACCAUGUAAAAGACAUUAUCCACUUCGCCCAGAGGCUAUUGAAAGCAUUGCUCCUGUUAUUCAGUCACUCAUAAAUCAGAUGCAAUUGUGGAAUGUCCUAAUUCACCAUGUAACACCCUCAUCCUACCUAUAAUUCAAUUCAAUUUUAUUUAUAAAGCCCAAUAUCACAAAUCACAAU